rnacentral:misc_RNA from 1 species
UCAAACUUGGUCAUUUAGAGGAAGUAAAAGUCGUAACAAGGUUUCCGUAGGUGAACCUGCGGAAGGAUCAUUAAAAUGGACCUACAGGGGUCUUAAACCCGUGUCACCAGCUACUCACUACGGUGGGCAACCGCAAUAGUGGUAGCUGCUGUGUGCCCAUAUACCCAUUGUGAAACUUCUACCUUUGCUUCGGCAGCACUCUCAGCGAAAGCUGGAGGGGUAAGGCUGUCAGAAGCCCAUAUCAAACUAGUUUAUGAAAUGUCAUGCUGUCUGAUAACUACUAUUUGAGAAAUCAAAUUUAUCUUAAAACUUUCAGCAACGGAUCUCUUGGUUCUCGCAUCGAUGAAGAACGCAGC